CAUCAAGCUGGUCGCGGCACACCACAGAGAAAUACUCAGCCUGUGUGAGGGGUGUAGGAAGAACCUCUGUGAGGUCGAAUGGGGAACAGGGCUCUAGGAGUCUCUAAUCUUGACCACUGUCACCUGAAUGAGCAAGGACUACACAGGUGGGUUUUACUGCACUUCUGUCUCUUUGCCAGGGGCAGUCGCUUGGAAUCCGUGAAGCUGGAAGCCAGUGUGGGAUUUGUGUACCUUGGGAUGAUUCUCUUGCUGCUUCAGGAAUCAAGUGAAAACAAGAAUCAUUUCGAAGAUUUCGUCUGUCCUACUACAAUUCUCAUUGCUUUACCAGAUGACCCUGGUAGAGAAGUAAUAGUCCUUUGGAAGAGUAUAGAAAGAAGACAGAAUUUUAUGCUUCAGGCAGUGAGUAUGAAAUUUGUGGGGCAGUCGCUUGGAAUCCGUGAAGCUGGAAGCCAGUGUGGGAUUUGUGUACCUUGGGAUGAUUCUCUUGCUGCUUCAGGUGUGUCUGGGGACAUCGUGAUGAGCCAGUCUCCAGGCCCCCUGACGGAGUCUGCAGGAGAGCACGUCGCCAUCAACUGCAAGUCCGGCCAGAGCCUUCUAUCUAGCUACAACCAGAAGAGCUACUUAGCGUGGUGCCGGCAGAAACCAGGACAGGCUCCUAAACUGCUCAUCUACCGGGCGUCCACCCGGGCAUCUGGGGUCCCUGACCGGUUCAGCGGCAGCGGGUCUGGGACACACCUCACCCUCACCAGCGGCAGCCUCCAGGCUGAAGAUGUGGGGGUGUAUUACUGCCCGCAGAGUUAUAAUACUCCUCCCACAGUGCUUCAGCCUCGCGCCCAAGCCUCCUCCCCGGGGGCCACGGGUCAGGGAGGCUUGGCUGCCCCAGCUGCUUCCUCCCCGCUCAGCCCUGUUUCUCCGUAGGUUGCAUGAGAAGCCUUCUGGCUGAAUCACAGAAGAGUGGAGAGUCUCAAGGGAAGACUGAGUAGAUCGGCCUCUUCUAUGUCUCUUGUGCAAGGAGGUCGUUCUGAGAAGACUGUGAGGAUUUGCCAUGGACCCUGGUCUACAUCGGCCACGAUAUUUUGUGUCACCUGAAUCUGAAUUGUCCGUACAGAUGGAUUUAUUUUACUGACUUGAUCAUGGCUUCGGCUGCAUCUUGUGGAGAAGGGACCAGUGGGCUUCACAGCAGAGUGCUGUCCUGUAAUGUGACACUUCAGCGUUCCCUGUAACCCUUUGGUCCACUGCAUAGCUGCCCACCUCAGCAUGUGAUCACUCAGCGGUGUUCUUAAGGCCGUACUUCCUUCAGCUUCUCCUCUCUCUCCUUGCCAGAGGCUAUUAGAAAGUGACCAUGUACAUGCAAAAAAUAGUAUCUCACUGGAGCCCAGCUGAAGUCUUACAAAAGCAUUUGAGGUCAACUGCGAGGGGGCAGGAUUCUGUGAGUUUUACAGAAGCUGUGUAGACCUCACAGUGGAGGUGGCCUCGUGGUUCUACAUCUGACUGUACGCCUGGAUUUGGGUUCCGGGACCUCGAGGAUAACUUUCCUGUUUCUGCAGUAUGAAAACACCUGCAUAUUCGUCUAGAUUAUUUGGAAUGUAUCCUCCCCGCACCGCCUGGGCUGUGCUAUGAAGACUUACCCCUUCUCUACGUGGAUCUCAGCCCGUCUGUAAGUGUGGAAGGUGAACUGGGUGCGUAUUGAGCACGUAGACACGCUUCAUCCUUAAACAUCUCAAUAGCUUAGACCUGCGGCUCCUACCUUUUCUUGGGCUUCAUGGCAAGCUGGCGUAACCCCAAUCUACUGACUAAAGAGAAAGAGUGUGUGUGAUUAUUGUCGUUCUGGAUUGCUCACCAGCACUCUGGUAGACUCAAAAAUUGUAUUUCAUGUUUCAGUGAAAAGCUAUCUUUUUUCUCCUGUUGGUUGUACAGAAAGUACAGAAAGUGGCCUGUCAGCCACUUUUCCAUCAUGAGGGAGCCCAUGACUGACAGACUGAGGACAGCAGAGCUGAUGUGGAAACUGUCUGAUUUUACUUUAAGUCGUUGACUCAGUCGACUCUGAAAUCCACCCUUUCUCUAGCCCUGUUACUUGUACUGACAGCAUUCUACAUGAUAUUUCAAAUUUGGUUCUCCGUUAUGAAGUAAUCUCCAUGGGGCAGUAGAUUCUAGAUAAACAGGUCUCCUUGCUCUUUUUUGGUUGAUUGCACAUUAUCUCACAAACAUCAACUGAAGUGUGUGCAUUAUUGCAUCUUCCAAACACUGGAGCAGCUCUCUUCCUGACUGAGUUAGAGUGAAAUGCGCAGCCCAGUAGCUUGAGUGACGCACCGCACUGCCCCUACUCAGCCCUUCAUGUUGUAACUAAUGCUGUGUGUGGGCACCAGGGGCAGCGACCUUUCUCGCAGGCAAACAGCUGCAAGCUUAGAUGUGUGAACUUCCUUUACACUGUACACAAAUUUCACCAAAGUAAGCUAGUAUGGCUCCCUUCAGUGUAGACAUAAUGGAAAAGUGGGGCAAUUGUCACAAAAGAACCUCCCUGCCCAACUGGCCUGCGGGAUCGUGUCCAGGGCUGUGACCAUGUGGGGGGGGGUGAGAACGACUUUAUAGAGAGCACUAAAGAAUAACAUAGCUAGCCUGCCUAUUACUGAUGGCUGGCGCAUAGACAGUGUAGGACCUCCAAUUCUCUGUGCACACCCGGGGCAGGGCCGUGCGUUGGAACCUGGUUGACAGGUGUCCUGAAUCAAGUCCUGGUUGCUGUUAGUUCCAAAGUUAAGCGGUCGGUUGCUCUUUUGUUUUUGUUAGAGUUGGUGACGGUUUUCUCUAUGUAGAGAUCCCACCAAAGAUUUUGUUUUCUCAGCAACGAAAAUAUCAUGUUGAAUGAAGAAAAAAAGUUAAAAGUACAUGGCAAUAAGUCCGUUAAAUCUUUUCGGUCGAAUCCAAAGGGCAGUUUUCCUGGAUGACAAUAUUUAAACAAUUCUAAAAAGACUGUUAACUAGUAUUUGCCCUUGACUA